UUGAAGGAUAAUACUUUUAUUCGAUUUUUAAGUAAUAUCUAUAGAAAUAAGUAUAAAGGUUUGGAUAAACUAUUAUAACUUCAGUUUAUUACGUAAUCACUAAAUAAGCUAGACUUUAUAACUAAUAUAAACCAUAUUAUAAACUAAGAAUCAUACUUAAGGAGCACUUAUGUUAAUAUUUUCCAUUAAUUUCUAACUUAUAAAAUACUCGUUUUGAAACUUAAAAGAACUCGUUCCUCGGAGCUCAAUAAGGACGAUAUCAAGGACAUAAGAAGAGGAUUAUUAUUAUUCUGCAAUCAAGGUACUGCUGGGGACGAUGGUACUGCGUAGUGGCAAGGAUUACCACCUUAUUAAAUCAUCUAGUAAUAGUGCUACUAACUUGUAAGGUUAACUUAACUAGAAUGUAAGACCAUAUACUUUAAUAUAAAUUAUCAUUGUCAUGUCAUGUAACGUUAACGUUGUUUACUUUAUUA